rnacentral:rRNA from 1 species
AACGAACGCUGGCGGCAUGCCUAACACAUGCAAGUCGAACGAGACCUUCGGGUCUAGUGGCGCACGGGUGCGUAACGCGUGGGAAUCUGCCCUUGGUUCGGAAUAACAGUUAGAAAUGACUGCUAAUACCGGAUAAUGUCUUCGGACCAAAGAUUUAUCGCCCAGGGAUGAGCCCCGCGUAGGAUUAGCUAGUUGGUGAGGUAACGGCUCACCAAGGCGACGAUCAGUAGCUGGUCUGAGAGGAUGAUCAGCCACACUGGGACUGAGAUACGGCCCAGACUCCUACGGGAGGCAGCAGUGGGGAAUAUUGGACAAUGGGGGCAACCCUGAUCCAGCAAUGCCGCGUGAGUGAUGAAGGCCUUAGGGUUGUAAAGCUCUUUUGCCAGGGAAGAUGAUGACUGUACCUGGAGAAUAAGCCCCGGC